UAGGGAAUCUUCCACAAUGGACGCAAGUCUGAUGGAGCAACGCCGCGUGAGUGAAGAAGGCUUUCCGGGUCGUAAAACUCUGUUAUUGAAGAAGAACGUGUGUGACAGUAACUGGUCAUGCAGUGACGGUAUUCAAUCAGAAAGUCACGGCUAACUACGUGCCAGCAGCCGCGGUAAUACGUAGGUGGCAAGCGUUGUCCGGAUUUAUUGGGCGUAAAGCGAGUGCAGGCGGUCUUUUAAGUCUGAUGUGAAAGCCUUCGGCUUAACCGAAGAAGGGCAUCGGAAACUGGGAGACUUGAGUGCAGAAGAGGAGAGUGGAACUCCAUGUGUAGCGGUGAAAUGCGUAGAUAUAUGGAAGAACACCAGUGGCGAAGGCGGCUCUCUGGUCUGUAACUGACGCUGAGGCUCGAAAGCGUGGGUAGCAAACAGGAUUAGAUACCCUGGUGAGUCCACGCCGUA
rnacentral:rRNA from 1 species